UAGAGUUUGAUCCAUGGCUCAGGACGAACGCUGGCGGCGUGCCUAAUACAUGCAAGUCGAGCGGAUCUCUUCGGAGAUCAGCGGCGGACGGGUGAGUAACACGUGGGCAACCUGCCUGUAAGACUGGGAUAACUCCGGGAAACCGGAGCUAAUACCGGAUACUAUGUCAAACCGCAUGGUUUGACAUUCAAAGACGGUUUCGGCUGUCACUUACAGAUGGGCCCGCGGCGCAUUAGCUAGUUGGUGAGGUAAUGGCUCACCAAGGCGACGAUGCGUAGCCGACCUGAGAGGGUGAUCGGCCACACUGGGACUGAGACACGGCCCAGACUCCUACGGGAGGCAGCAGUAGGGAAUCUUCCGCAAUGGACGAAAGUCUGACGGAGCAACGCCGCGUGAGUGAUGAAGGUUUUCGGAUCGUAAAACUCUGUUGUCAGGGAAGAACAAGUGCCGGAGUAACUGCCGGUGCCUUGACGGUACC
rnacentral:rRNA from 2 species